UAUAGUAAUGAGACAUGUUGUGAUCUCAUCGUCGACAUCAUCGAAACUCUUUUUGAUGGACCAGAACUCUUUUGAUUCAGACAAUUAGAAUGAUCGAUCAUCAAGAUCAUUCUAAUUGCUCUGAAAAUCCAUCAGUGACACCUAGCAGUAUAUGAUGGCAACCCAUCAGAAAUGAAGAUGAACCUCUCGGUGCAGCUACUUGUGUGAUUGAGUUCCUCUAUCAUGAGUCCCGACUGAAUUAGGGUUAAGGUGAACUCAUCAAACCCAACAUCAGUCAUAUGAACCAAUCGAUUGAUUUGAGUCCGAUGUGAAACCCCAAUGAAAAUCUCUUUUCUAUUAUUUCACUCUGCCAUGGCCAUGGGCUUAAGGACACGAUCUUUCGAUCAUCAUAGGACUACUCUCAUCUACCGAAGUUGAUAGAUCUCAUCUUGGUGCAAUCUGAUUCCUAUAAUGAAUAUGCUACAGCCAACAUACACCUCAAGGUUUCGAAUGGCUAGG
rnacentral:lncRNA from 1 species